rnacentral:lncRNA from 1 species
AGUCAUCAGGGAAAGCUUUGAAGGAUGGGGACAAUUGUACUAAAUAAAAGGGUGAAAAGCAAUCAGCGUACAGAAGAAAGUCUAUUAACUACAAUUGAGUUCAUCUGUGAGUAACAGAAGUGCCAAAAUAACAAUGGCUUAAAGAAGACACAAGUUUGUUUUACUCUCAUAUAAAAGAAAUUAAGUUGCUAGGGACCUAGGUUAUUUCUGUCUUGCUUCUCCACCAUCUUUAGUGCAUUGCCUCAUGGUUUAAUAUGGUUGCUUAUGCUCCAGCCACUACCUUCAGAAUCCACACACCAAGAAGAAAGAAGGUAACAAAGAACUUAUGCUAAGUUUUUUUAACAUUUCAUUGGACAGAACCUAUUAUAUAGUCUCUUCUAGUUUGAGAGGAGGCUGGGAAAUAUAGUCAUGAUUCUGAGCCCAGAUAAAUGUCAAGGCUCUAUUAUUAAGGAAGCAGGGCAGAGUGGAUACUGGGGUAAGCCACUGUAGUAUCUACCCUAGGACAGGGAACUAAUUCCAUUUGUGGAGGUGUGGCAGAUUGCAAAGAAGGCCACAAUGCCACUAUUCACAAUAUCAAAGACUUGGAACCAACCCAAAUGUCCAUCAAUGAUAGACUGGAUUAAGAAAAUGUGGCACAUAUACAACAUGGAAUACUAUGCAGCCAUAAAAAAGGAUGAGUUCAUGUCCUUUGUAGGGACAUGGAUGAAGCUGGAAACCAUCAUUCCAAGCAAACUAUCACAAGGACAGAACACCAAACACCGCAUGUUCUCACUCAUAGGUGGGAAUUGAACAAUGAUAACACUUGGACACAGGGUGGGGAACAUCACACACCGGGGCCUGUUGUGGGGUUGCAGGAGGGGGGAGGGAUAGCAUUAGGAUAUAUACCUAAUGUAAAUGAUAAGUUAAUGGGUGCAGCACACCAACAUGGCACAUGUAUACAUAUGUAACAAACCUGCACACAUACCCUAGAACUUAAAGUAUAGUAAAAAAAAAAAAAAAAAAAAA